rnacentral:snoRNA from 14 species
CUGCAUGCUCUGAUGGACCUCGCACUGGCUUGUAAAGGAAAAUGCUCUUGUGUUUCCCUCUGUGUGGUGGUCCAGAUUGACUCAGGGAGAAUGUCU